UCGCACGCGAAGACCGGUUCUAAGAGCAACCUUAUAUCCAAGCUAUUGCCUCCCAUUCUAAGAGCAACCUUAUAUCCAAUUUUGUUGGAAUUACUAUUGAGGUUUUAGUUUUCAGUUUAGCAUUGAUAAAGUCGAAUUAUAUGUGAUAAAUUUGAUAUUUGAACCUAUCAUUUUUAAACAUGGAAAGAAUCAAAACCCUAGUCUCUUAUUCCUUACAAUAUUUCAUAAUUUUAAGUACUAUCAGUGCCAUUAGU
rnacentral:lncRNA from 1 species